CCAGCAGAUCCUCCCUCCCAGACCCUCCUACUUCCUGGACAGCAUCCAUGAAACAUGCUGUCCAGGAAGUAGGAGGGUCUGGGAGGGAGGGUCUGCUGGAGAU